ensembl:lncRNA LINC02008 long intergenic non-protein coding RNA 2008
GCUCUAUGAUCUGAGUUUUAGACUUGCACAGAAUCCAUCAAGCCAUCCCCUUAUUGACUGGUCUCAGCUGGGGUCAGCCAACAGAAAGCCCAGGUGGAAGAUCAGCGGGUGAGAAGAGAAAGAUCAGAGAAAACGCCUAUUUUGGAGUGAAACCAGGGCCGCCUUAUGAGCUAAACAGAGUGUGUUACAGCUUCAAUAGACUAAACAAGCUCUAAAUUUAUCUUCCUAUGGUCACGGGAUCUCAUAUAUUCUGGCUGUCAUUGUCAUAAUAAGCCACUCUUGGUCAUAUGGAAAAGCAUUCAGCUGCUCCCUGCCUUUGCUCACAGCGUGUGGUACUCUCUUAGAAGCUAUUCCUGGUUCAUUGGUAAUUUGCUAAAAGAAUGCCAGUGGGAACAGAACAGAAGCAUUUUCAAGAUUAAAUUGGCAAUGGUUGUGACUGAUUGGAUGAAGGAAGUAAGGGGGAGAGAUUCAUCAGAGAAAGAAGGCUUCUUUAAGCAGCAGAAUUGAGGAAUGAGUCAGAAAAUAAAAGAGCAAACAGGUUUUUGUUGUUUUAUUUAAUUUUGGUCAACCUACUUGUAUUGGCUUUCAUAGCAUAAAGAAAAUAUUUUACUUUGAACAAGCAUAAAACAAAAACACAUCUUUCAUACAAUACAAUGCAAUCGAUGGCUUUUCCCCAAUGAUUUAUGGAAAUAGCUCUAAAGGAGAGAGAUGAUUUUGUUGCCAGGUCUCCUCAGAUAUCAUCAGUAUUUUUAAUCUCUCAUGACAUUGCUCUACACCCUCUUGCUGCUAUAUUUCUAAAUGCCCUGAGGAUGUUAUUUCUGGCUGUUUCU